GGUCACACCGGAGCCUCCUCUUCUCCUGCCCAAACCACGCCAGGUUCCUCAGCCGCUCCUCCUAAGACCCGUGCUCCUAUUAAUUAAUUAAGUUCCCAUUUCCUAUAUUCCAGCUAGCAGCGACACAUUCACUGCCCAGAGGAGCUGCAGGCACCGAGACAACGGGACAUCAAUUACGGCGCCCCGCCACAAGUGAGAAAAGGCUUAAUUAGAGCGAAGACUGGGUGGAAGAGUAAAGGCUCAUUAAUCAAGUGGAUACCUCGAACUUUCAGUGGAAAGGAAUCCUGUCAGCAUACAUGGAAAACAGAAUAAGAAAAAGAAAACAUUAUUGAAACACUUCUAUUACUAAGCACAGGCCUGUAAAAACUGUCUAGUUCAUAGGUUAAAGUAUUUCUUCUGACCUGCCAACUCCUGCAUUUUCUAGCAGUGUAAAUUAAGAACAACAUUUAGAAAAAUCAUAUCUUGCUCCCCCCAUCAGAGGGCAAAAUCUCACCAUUUUUUUCAUCUUAGCAGGAGGUGAGAUUGAAUAUUAAAAACAAACAGAAAAACAAAAAAUAAAACUAUCACCAAAUUGCACAUAAAUAUUGUACACAAACUUUGUGCUCAGCCUUUCUUCUAAAGUACAAUUUUUCACAAGAUUCUGCUACUAAUUUACAAAAUGCUAUCUAGCUAUGUGUUUUUAUUGGCAAUUUACAGCCUGAAGGAUAAUACAUAAAUACAUAUAAACUAUUGAAAACUAAUUUAAAGUUAAAUAAAUUAAAUUUAUAGUUUGGAGAUAAGCCUUGAAAUUACUAGGAAUUUGGCCAAGACAGAAGUUCAGCUUUACAACAAGAUUACUGUUUUAAUGAAAUUGAAAAAAAUAUCUGCUAUACAGCCUUUAUAAUAUAAACCAGCUUGGAUUCUACUUGCAUUCAUUUAAAAGUUCCAGAUCUUUGAAAUUUAAAAGAAAAUAUGGCAGUGCUCAAAAUAAGCUUUGUGCAACGGGGAAAGUACAGCUUCCCUUCACAUCCCACCUGCUACUACCUCUGAGAUGUUUUCUGCUUAUAAAAAUGGUACUUCUCACAAACACAUCUCCUCACUAGUUCAAUAGUUCUAAGGAAGGAAAAACCCAAGGCUAACACAUUUCUUUAGUGCCACUCCUUCUCGAUAUAACAUAUGAUAAAGACCUUAAAAUUAUCAGCUUGUAUCUUCACUUAAUGUUAUUAUGGGUUAUCAUAUACUUAAAGUCUACUAUCAUGAUUUUCACAAAACAGUUUUCUGCAGGGAUAUCAGAUUUUUCAAGAUAAUGCCACUUAUUAUUCGUAUUAUGUUUUCCAUUCCUUAGUACAUACUUCCUUUCUAUUAACUUCUGGUUCUUAAUACAGUGUAGUAAUUUGCUAUUAAAGACACAUUAAAGACACAUUUCUUGAGUAAAA